UCGAAUAGUUUAGGGUUUCUGAGAAACCCUAGAAGUGAGAAAGUCUUGGAAGAACAAGAUAAGAUCCUGAGUCAAAAUGGUCAGGAAUCAAGCUUCCAAUGCUUGAACAUGCUGGAAUGUGGCCGAAAGAUCAUAUAUCUACGGAUCUAAGACAGAUUUAAUAGAGGACCAUCGAGUUCAAGCCUUCAUAAUUCGUGUAACUUAGGCUUGGGAAUGAGAGAGGAUGAGGAUAGGACAUCCAUGGCUGGAGAUGCCAUAGAUUUCGGUGGGAAUGAGGUGAGAACAAUUGAGAGAUGAUUAGGGUUUAGGGGAGGCUAGAGAGCGUUUCAGCGAUGAGGGGUUUCAUUGGCGGCACCUUUGUACAGAUGAGGUAGGGUUAGAUGAGUUAGGGAAUAAAA
rnacentral:lncRNA from 1 species